GGAGAGAUUCUAAAUGACAUAUCUUAAAUAAGAGGAGGAAGAAGCGCUUCUUGAGAGACACGUAUUAGAAGAAGAAGGUGUUUGCGUUUAUCUCCUUCUUUCUCUCAACGGUGUGACGAUUCAUCACUCCACCUCUCCCUCUCGUUUGAUCUCCUCCACGAUUCUUCACUCCACAUCGGUUGAUAUUCUCCACAAUCCAACGCUCGGCUUCUCUCUCUCAGUUGGUUUGAUCGACGAAGUUUCGUUCCGCGUCUCUGUCGAUGGCUCUCAUCGAGGAGGAAAAACGGCGACAUCUCUCUCGGUGGCUCUCCUCCACGAAGAAAAACGACGAUUUCUCUCUCGGUUUUUCUCCUCCACGAAGUAUCAUUCCGCUUCUCUUUCUCGGUGGCUGUGAUCGACGAUUGUUGAUCGACUCCGCCUCUCUCUCGGUGAAUCUAAAGCUAAGUUAUUUUGUUUUUAUUUGUUAGAUGUGUUGCAUGUUGUGUUGCGGUGGUUUUUGUCUCUAAAGUGAUCAAUCCUUCUUGUUCGGGUCACAAAUUUUCUCAAGUUUGAUUUGUUUGUUGUGUUGCAUGUUGUGCUGUGUUGGUUUCUGUCUCAAAGAAGUGAUCAAUCCUUCUUGUUCGGGUCACAAGUUAUCUAAAAAUCGAUUUGUUUGUUAUGUUGGAUAAUGUCGUUUGAUAAGUCUUGUGAUUAAUCCUUUGAUUCUUUUUGAUUUGUUUCUCUGUUUCUGUGUUAAGAAGGAUGGAUCAAGAGCGUGGAUCAAGAGCGUGGAUCAAGAGAGAAGAUCAAGGUUCGUCAAUGAAGAGAAGUACAAUUGCAAUAAAGGUCUUGACAGAGUGGAGCAUUGGAGUGGAGCAGUCAUGGGUUGGACAGAAUGAGAGUGAGAGAGUGAGAGAGUGAGAGUUGUAGUGUUGUGUUCACGGGCUGAGAGUGACAGAGUAAGAGAGUGAGAGUUGUAGUGUUGUAUUCAUGGACUGAGAGUGACAGAGUGAGAGACUGAGAGUUGUUGUUUUUUAUUCACGGACUGAGAGUGACAGAGUGAGAGUUGUUGUUUUGUGUUCACGGACUGAGAGUGAGAGAGUGAGAGUUGUUGUUUUGUUUUCACGGACUGAGAGUUGUUGGUUUUGUCGAAGACUCGAAUGUGUUCUAUAUAAAGUUUGUAUUCAAUUGUACAUUUAUUCACAAAGUCAUCUUCUCUCGCUCU